AGCGAACGCUGGCGGCAGGCCUAACACAUGCAAGUCGAACGAACCCUUCGGGGUUAGUGGCGGACGGGUGAGUAACACGUGGGAACGUGCCCUUUGGUUCGGAACAACUCAGGGAAACUUGAGCUAAUACCGAAUGUGCCCUUCGGGGGAAAGAUUUAUCGCCAUUGGAGCGGCCCGCGUCUGAUUAGCUUGUUGGUGAGGUAAAGGCUCACCAAGGCUACGAUCAGUAGCUGGUCUGAGAGGAUGAUCAGCCACAUUGGGACUGAGACACGGCCCAAACUCCUACGGGAGGCAGCAGUGGGGAAUCUUGCGCAAUGGGCGAAAGCCUGACGCAGCCAUGCCGCGUGAAUGAUGAAGGUCUUAGGGUUGUAAAAUUCUUUCACCGGGGACGAUAAUGACGGUACCCGGAGAAGAAGCCCCGGCUAACUUCGUGCCAGCAGCCGCAGUAAUAC
rnacentral:rRNA from 1 species